UUUGGUAUGUACAGGAACUCCUUUAUAUUAUUUAUAUAUUUAAUUUGUUUAGCAGCUCUAUACUACUGGUUGUAGUUAUAUUGUGAUUACAGGUACAACCAUCGCUUCGUAUACACAAAAAAUGUUUUUGUAUACGGCUGGUCUGUUGGCAUAUCCGAAAAAACGUGGUAAUCUGGGGUGUGACAUAAAAUUACAACUGAUUUAUUUUGGUCGACCAAAGUAUAUGU
rnacentral:lncRNA from 1 species